rnacentral:rRNA from 1 species
ACGCUCGACACCUAGGAGGCAGCAGUGGGGAAUAUUGCACAAUGGGGGAAACCCUGAUGCAGCGACGCCGCGUGAAGGAUGAAGUAUUUCGGUAUGUAAACUUCUAUCAGCAGGGAAGAAAGUGACGGUACCUGACUAAGAAGCCCCGGCUAACUACGUGCCAGCAGCCGCGGUAAUCUGAGCGGGCUGGCAAGGC